rnacentral:lncRNA from 1 species
UCCUCCCACCUCGGCCUCUUAAAGUUCUGGGAUUAUAGGUUUGGCCUAGAGCUCUUUCUUCUUAGCGGACAUCGUCUGGAGACAUUUUUGGUUGCCAGGAUUUGCUGGGUGGCCUUACUGGCAUCUAGAAGACCGACGCUGCUCAACCCUGUUGGCGCGCUGAACCCAAAUGCCAGUGGCAGUGAGCUUGCAAAUCGUUGGACUCAUGAUGCUUUGAGUGCUCUCAGGACUCUGGAGGUCGAUGCUGGGGUUCCUCGCUGGCUUCCUGCUGCUGAUGCUCUUCCCCUCUCUGAGCUCUUUUACGGAAAGCUUCGUGGCACACUUGCUGCUUUUCACUGAAACCAGGCUGUGUGGUGACUAGAAGCUGCGUAUUCACAUUUAUUUUUAUUGAUUGAUGGAUUGAGGCUGCUGUGCAGUGGUGUGAGUAGCUCCGGCUACAGGCGCACGCCACCAUGCCCAGCUAAUUUUUUGAAUUUUUUGUAGAGAUGGGGACUCGCCGUGUUGCCCAGGCUGGUCUCCAACUUCUGGGCUCAAGCAAUCCGCCUGCCUCAGCCUCCUGAAGUGCUGGGAUUACAGGCGUGAGCCAGCGCACCCAUCACACACUUAUUUUUAAUGGUCCUUGAGGUUAAUGGCAGCUUUGAACAAUCCUGUCCAGGAGUGUAAGGAGGAAAAACCUCACUCCAUCUUCCAGGAGUGUAAGGAGGAAAAACCUCACUCCAUCUUUGCAAAACGCAUGUGCCAGGAGUGUUGCUCAGGAAACACGCGAUUCUCUCGGAUGCUAAGUGCAGAGCCGGGGAACCCUGCACCAGCAAGCCCUGUCCUGGGAGCUGCCUUCAAUCCUGUCUGUGCUUCCUUCCCUGGUUCUGCACACGGAAGUGUUUGGAGUUGGAGGAGAGCCUGAUGUUUGGAUGGGACUGAAGUAACAUGGGUAUAGAUUUUUUUUCCCCCAUUUAGACUGGUUUGUUUUAUUCUUGGAGUCCCCAGAGCUCUUCAGGGAAAUUAUAUAGUUUUAUUCAGCUGCCUUUUUUUUUUUUUUUUAAGACGAGUUUCGCUCUGUCACCCAGGCUGGAGUGCAGUGGUGCAGUCUCAGCUCACUGCAACCUUUGCCUCGCAGAUUCAAGUGAUUCACCUGCCCCAGCCUCCCAAGUAGUUGGGGUUACAGGUACAAGCCACCACACCUGGUUAAUUUUUUGUAUUUUCAGUAGAGACGGGGUUUUGCCCUGUUGGCCAGGCUGGUCUUGAACUCAUGACCUCAAGUGAUCCGCCCACCUCGGCCUCCCAAAGUGCUGGGAUUACAGGCGUGAGCCACCAUGCAUGGCUUUAUUCAGCUUUUUAAAAAAAUGGUACUGCAGUAUAAUCUUUUCCUCUUAAAAUACUCAGUGGAAAUGAAAACCACCUUAUCUUUUUUUGCACCUUUUAUGUAGUUUAAAACUUAAUAUGCUUCUUAAAGUUAAAAUUAGCCUUUUAAGGCUGGGCAUGGUGGCUGACGCCUGUAAUCCUAACACUUUGGAAGGCCGAGGUGAUUGGAACACCUGAGGUCAGGAGGUCCAGAUCAGCCGGGGGUGGGUGGCGAGCGCCUGUAAUCCCAUCUACUCGGGAGGCUGAGGUAGGAGAAUCGCUUGAACCCAGGAGGGGAGGUGGAGGUUGCAGUGAGCUGAGAUCACGCCACUGCACUCCAGCCUGGGGGACAAGAGUGAAACUCUGUCUCCAAAAAAAAAAAAAAGGCCUUUUAAAAACUUAGCUUACUGGUAAUGUUUUGUUUCUGUGGCGAGAUUGCCCACUUGGGUUAUUUGGUUUCUUACGUAUAAAAAGCCCCAGAGCCUCUAAAAUCUGGUUUUAUGGUGAUUUCACAAGAUUGUAUCAGUGUCAUCUACUCUUUUUUGUGCUGGACUUUGGAUUUACCUUUAAGUUGUUGCAAUUGCUGCAUUGUGACGUAAAGGUAUUUGAUGAAUGAAGUUAAGUUUUGGCCUUGGCACAGUGACCAGGAGCUGAGCAGUGGGUCAUGGGAGAGGAAGGGCGAUGGAAUAAACCGUGUGGACCAAAUGGAGGGAGACGAGAGCGAUGAAAGAACUGAGGCUGAAAUUAUUAUUGACAUGAGCUAAUCUCACUCUCUUGUUUCAGAAUAUAUACAGCCCUGCUCUGGGACACACCUCCAUUGGAUUUAAAAGACAGUCCUCGUCAGCACUGACUUUCAGCUAUGGAAUCGGUAAAUACUCACUGCAUUCUCUAUCAAUUUAUGUUUUUGUCAUUGAUUUGUAAAAAUAAGUAUCAAAAUAAUGCGUGAGUGUCCAGGUUGGUUUUCUUGGACUUGAUAGA